CACGUGAAAUUCCGUCGGAAUCUGGGAGGACCAUCUCCUAAGGCUAAAUACUCUCUAGUGACCGAUAGUGAACCAGUACCGUGAGGGAAAGGUGAAAAGCACCCCGGAAGGGGAGUGAAAUAGAACCUGAAACCGUGUGCUUACAAGUAGUCAGAGCCCGUUAAUGGGUGAUGGCGUGCCUUUUGUAGAAUGAACCGGCGAGUUACGAUUUGAUGCAAGGUUAAGCAGUAAAUGUGGAGCCGUAGCGAAAGCGAGUCUGAAUAGGGCGUUUAGUAUUUGGUCGUAGACCCGAAACCAGGUGAUCUACCCUUGGUCAGGUUGAAGUUCAGGUAACACUGAAUGGAGGACCGAACCGACUUACGUUGAAAAGUGAGCGGAUGAACUGAGGGUAGCGGAGAAAUUCCAAUCGAACCUGGAGAUAGCUGGUUCUCUCCGAAAUAGCUUUAGGGCUAGCCUCAAGUGAUGAUUAUUGGAGGUAGAGCACUGUUUGGACGAGGGGCCCCUCUCGGGUUACCGAAUUCAGACAAACUCCGAAUGCCAAUUAAUUUAACUUGGGAGUCAGAACAUGGGUGAUAAGGUCCGUGUUCGAAAGGGAAACAGCCCAGACCACCAGCUAAGGUCCCAAAAUAUAUGUUAAGUGGAAAAGGAUGUGGCGUUGCCCAGACAACUAGGAUGUUGGCUUAGAAGCAGCCAUCAUUUAAAGAGUGCGUAAUAGCUCACUAGUCGAGUGACACUGCGCCGAAAAUGUACCGGGGCUAAACAUAUUACCGAAGCUGUGGAUUGUCCUUUGGACAAUGGUAGGAGAGCGUUCUAAGGGCGUUGAAGCAUGAUCGUAAGGACAUGUGGAGCGCUUAGAAGUGAGAAUGCCGGUGUGAGUAGCGAAAGACGGGUGAGAAUCCCGUCCACCGAUUGACUAAGGUUUCCAGAGGAAGGCUCGUCCGCUCUGGGUUAGUCGGGUCCUAAGCUGAGGCCGACAGGCGUAGGCGAUGGAUAACAGGUUGAUAUUCCUGUACCACCUAUAAUCGUUUUAAUCGAUGGGGGGACGCAGUAGGAUAGGCGAAGCGUGCGAUUGGAUUGCACGUCUAAGCAGUAAGGCUGAGUAUUAGGCAAAUCCGGUACUCGUUAAGGCUGAGCUGUGAUGGGGAGAAGACAUUG
rnacentral:rRNA from 2 species